rnacentral:rRNA from 1 species
UGCCUAUACAUGCAAGUCGAGCGAACAGAUAAGGAGCUUGCUCCUUUGACGUUAGCGGCGGACGGGUGAGUAACACGUGGGUAACCUACCUAUAAGACUGGGAUAACUUCGGGAAACCGGAGCUAAUACCGGAUAACAUUUGGAACCGCAUGGUUCUAAAGUGAAAGAUGGUUUUGCUAUCACUUAUAGAUGGACCCGCGCCGUAUUAGCUAGUUGGUAAGGUAACGGCUUACCAAGGCGACGAUACGUAGCCGACCUGAGAGGGUGAUCGGCCACACUGGAACUGAGACACGGUCCAGACUCCUACGGGAGGCAGCAGUAGGGAAUCUUCCGCAAUGGGCGAAAGCCUGACGGAGCAACGCCGCGUGAGUGAUGAAGGGUUUCGGCUCGUAAAACUCUGUUAUUAGGGAAGAACAAAUGUGUAAGUAACUGUGCACGUCUUGACGGUACCUAAUCAGAAAGCCACGGCUAACUACGUGCCAGCAGCCGCGGUAAUACGUAGGUGGCAAGCGUUAUCCGGAAUUAUUGGGCGUAAAGCGCGCGUAGGCGGUUUCUUAAGUCUGAUGUGAAAGCCCACGGCUCAACCGUGGAGGGUCAUUGGAAACUGGGAAACUUGAGUGCAGAAGAGGAAAGUGGAAUUCCAUGUGUAGCGGUGAAAUGCGCAGAGAUAUGGAGGAACACCAGUGGCGAAGGCGACUUUCUGGUCUGUAACUGACGCUGAUGUGCGAAAGCGUGGGGAUCAAACAGGAUUAGAUACCCUGGUAGUCCACGCCGUAAACGAUGAGUGCUAAGUGUUAGGGGGUUUCCGCCCCUUAGUGCUGCAGCUAACGCAUUAAGCACUCCGCCUGGGGAGUACGACCGCAAGGUUGAAACUCAAAGGAAUUGACGGGGACCCGCACAAGCGGUGGAGCAUGUGGUUUAAUUCGAAGCAACGCGAAGAACCUUACCAAAUCUUGACAUCCUUUGAAAACUCUAGAGAUAGAGCUUUCCCCUUCGGGGGACAAAGUGACAGGUGGUGCAUGGUUGUCGUCAGCUCGUGUCGUGAGAUGUUGGGUUAAGUCCCGCAACGAGCGCAACCCUUAAGCUUAGUUGCCAUCAUUAAGUUGGGCACUCUAGGUUGACUGCCGGUGACAAACCGGAGGAAGGUGGGGAUGACGUCAAAUCAUCAUGCCCCUUAUGAUUUGGGCUACACACGUGCUACAAUGGACAAUACAAAGGGCAGCUAAACCGCGAGGUCAUGCAAAUCCCAUAAAGUUGUUCUCAGUUCGGAUUGUAGUCUGCAACUCGACUACAUGAAGCUGGAAUCGCUAGUAAUCGUAGAUCAGCAUGCUACGGUGAAUACGUUCCCGGGUCUUGUACACACCGCCCGUCACACCACGAGAGUUUGUAACACCCGAAGCCGGUGGAGUAACCAUUUAUGGAGCUAGCCGUCGAA